GGGCGUUCAGGUUUUCAGAGCACACACACUUCAUCAUCGUGUGGUGGAGAGGGAUGGAUUAUGUAACUGUAUGUACGAGCGGCUGAACCCCACUGCAGCACCACAGAAGAAGAACAGGGAGCCACACACACACACACACAGCCGGUCCCCUCUUCGUCUAUUUUUACCUCCUCCGUGGGGCGACGAGCCUCUGCACCCCGUCCUUAUCCCCUCAUCAGAGCCCUCCGUCCAUCUCCUCCUAUUUAAUUAACCCUCCUCUUCGCCUCCUCUUCCUCUCUCUCCAUCUCCCUCUGAGUCCUCCCCCCCCCCCUCCCCCCCGGCCCAGAUCUCACCCUCCUCCUCUCCUGUUUUUCCUCUCCUCUCUCUCUCUCGCUCUGCCUCCUCCAGUGUUUUUCUGGGUUGCCGUGAGAGGCAGAACACACGCACAGGCGGCAGGUAAAGGAAGGAAAUCCUCCUCUUCCUCUUUCCAUCCUAAAGGCUUUUUAAAUGUCUUCUUUUCCAUCCGUUGCUUUUCAUUUCCUGAUGAUCUUGUACCGAGAAGCUGCAGAAUGAUGCUGUGUGUUACUGGACGUGUGAGUGUGUGUGCGUGGUUUUACCUUAUGCAUUUAUGUGGUGCUCUUGAAAAUGUUUGUGUGGAUGUUUGCACGUGACAGGAAAGCAUAGUGUGUGUGUGUGUGUGUGUGUGUGUGUGUGUGUGUAGAUGUGUGCGUUUUGGCCACAGGAGCAUUCUGUGUGUACGAGCGACUCCUGCAGUGUGUGUAGAAUGUUUUAUUUCUCUUCAUAUGACAUGAAACAUAUAUGUGGCGUGUGUGUGUUUGCGUGUGUGUGUGUGUGUGUUGGAUUCGCUACAUGCGUUAUUUUGGAGAAAACAGAGUGAGUGUGCAUUUAUUUGCGUGUUAUUUUUUUCUUUGAUUUCUAGAAAAGGGCUGUCAAGUGUGUGUACGUGUGUGUACAGUGUGUGUCUGUUCAGGUGUGCGAGAGGAGACCCUGCAGUCAAUUGCAGUGGAGUCCUUGCUACAUGAAGUGGGGUGGUGUGUUUGUGCGAUUCAAUGUGGCAGGCACAGGAGCGUGUGUGCGUGUGUCAGAUGGUUAAUUAUUUUUUUCAAUAUGGCACGCGUGGGCAUGUGUGUGUUCAUAGGAUUUUGUGUGUGUGUGUGUGUGUGAUUUGGCAGCAGGAACAGCGUGGGUGUGUGUGUGUGAUCUCGCAGUCACUCAUCUCUGAGUAAAUCAAGUGUGUGUAUGUGUGCGAUUGUUGAUAUCUAACAUGGAAGACACAGAGAUAUGUGUGUGUGAGUGUGUGUGUGUGUGUAUCAGACACAGAUAUGUGUGUGUGUGAGUGUGUGUGUGUGUGUAUCAGACACAGAUAUGUGUGUGUGUGAGUGUGUGUGUGUGUGUAUCAGACACAGAUAUGUGUGUGUGUGAGUGUGUGUGUGUGUGUGUGUGUAUCAGACACAGAUAUGUGAGUGUGUGUGAGUGUGUGUGUGUAUCAGACACAGAGAUAUGUGUGUGUGUGAGUGUGUGUGUAUCAGACACAGAUGAUUGUGAGAGUGUGUGUGAGAGUACUUGUGAUAAUUGCGCGCUGAAUUGUGUGUGUAAAUUUGAACACAUUACAGCGUACGUGUGAGACGGCUCCCUCUCCUCUUCUGUCUGUGUGUGUCUGUGUGUGCGUGUGUGUGUGUUUGUGCCACACUUGUGUCCUUUUCCUCCUCUUCAUCUGGCUCCUCCUCCUCUUCCUCUUUGCUCCCUUCAUCCCCCGUGUCUCCUCUCUUCUCCAGCCAAACAGGCUCAUUUAAUUAUUCAUCUCUCUCUGUCUCGCAAUGCCUCGUUUCUCUCCAUUUCGUCCUUCCUCCCUCUCUCUCCUCCUCUUCCUCUCCUCCUCUCCCCCUCUUCCUCUCUCCCCCUCUUCCUUCUGGCCAUCUCCUCUCUUUCUCUUUGCAUAUACUUCUGUUUAAAUCCAUCUGUCCGUCCUCCUUCCUCAUCUCUGUCUCUUUGUUUCUCUCCCGUAUGUUUUCAGUCAAAUUGGAUCGUUUUUGUGAAUUCGGGCGUCCGGGCGUCUGGAAGUUACCGACACAUUGAGGACGAGCACGUUGAUGUUAAAAUGCUUGAAUCUCGACUCAAGGUUUAGUUGCCGUCCUUCAGCGUGGACCGUAAGAAGUGGAAGCGUUCACGUGGCGUUGGAAUUUCGGCCGUUGCCAUCUUGUUUUUUAGCAACCGGAAGUGACACGAGAGGGAGGAGCUGAGCAUCAUGGACAACAAGCACAACGCCGUGGUAGAUAUCUGUCAAUCACAAGGGAGUCCCGCCCUAAAGCAC
ensembl:lncRNA